rnacentral:rRNA from 1 species
GACGAACGCUGGCGGCGUGCCUAAUACAUGCAAGUCGAGCGGAUUUAUCCUUCGGGAUAAGUUAGCGGCGGACGGGUGAGUAACACGUAGGCAACCUGCCUAUAGGACCUGGGAUAACUAUCGGAAACGAUAGCUAAGACCGGAUAACUGGUUUUCUCGCAUGAGAGAAUCAUGAAACACGGAGCAAUCUGUGGCUUAUAGAUGGGCCUGCGGCGCAUUAGCUAGUUGGUAGGGUAACGGCCUACCAAGGCGACGAUGCGUAGCCGACCUGGAGGGGUGAACGGCCACACUGGGACUGAGACACGGCCCAGACUCCUACGGGAGGCAGCAGUAGGGAAUCUUCCGCAAUGGACGCAAGUCUGACGGAGCAACGCCGCGUGAGUGAUGAAGGUUUUCGGAUCGUAAAGCUCUGUUGCCCUAGACGAACAGCAAGAGGAGUAACUGCCUUUUGUGUGACGGUAUAGGAGAAGAAAGCCCCGGCUAACUACGUGCCAGCAGCCGCCGUAAGAC